ACUGCCCGUUCUGAAAUAAUUGCACUGGUGGUGGUAAUAAUCUGCUUGGCCAUUUCUGUGAUUGUAAAUAUUGUUUUCGUCUGUUACCGAACUCCAAGAUCAGCACGAGAACAAUUCACAGGAACAGAAUUCAGCUCAUCACAAACAAGACAUGACAACGUGAGUCAACCGGUGCUUGAUGCUUGUGAAGGUGGACAGGAUCUGAACUAUGCUGCGCUGCAUUUCUCUGGAAGGAAAGCUGCACGAGGGAAAAAGAAGACGGAGUUGAAGACUGAAGAAAGUGUGUAUUCUCAAGUUAAAUGCCAAAUGUGAAUGUGUUGAUGAAAUACUUUCCAUUUACUUACAGUGCUGAUCUCUUACAAUGAAAAUAAAUUAAUGCAGUUUUAUAGAAAGCAGUCUGUGUUGUGAUAAAAGACAAAAUCUCUUCAAUCCCAUCGUUGUGCUGAAGCCUCACUUGAGAAAUAGACUCAUAGACGUUGAGAAAGAUGUUUACUUACAGUAGUUUCUUAGUGUUUCUGCUGAUACCAACCUGCUGAUCAGGUCCACCUGUCUGUCAGAAAAGCUCCUCUUCAGACUAGUUGUGCUGUGACCCACAACAUUCAUUCAUUCUAGAAAUGUUUGUUUACAUUGUCAUUUUAUAACUGCUCAGCAAAAUGUUAUGAGCAGCAGGAUGCAGUUUGACUGUGGUAAGUGGACUGUAACAGAGGAUAAAGACAAGAAAAAUCUUUAGUAAAUUGUUGUAUAACUUC